CGAACGCUGGCGGCAGGCCUAACACAUGCAAGUCGAGCGCACCCUUCGGGGCGAGCGGCGGACGGGUUAGUAACGCGUGGGAACGUACCCAAAUCUACGGAAUAGCCUCGGGAAACUGAGAGUAAUACCGUAUACGCCCUUCGGGGGAAAGAUUUAUCGGAUUUGGAUCGGCCCGCGUUAGAUUAGGUAGUUGGUGGGGUAAUGGCCUACCAAGCCUACGAUCUAUAGCUGGUUUUAGAGGAUGAUCAGCAACACUGGGACUGAGACACGGCCCAGACUCCUACGGGAGGCAGCAGUGGGGAAUCUUAGACAAUGGGCGCAAGCCUGAUCUAGCCAUGCCGCGUGAGUGAUGAAGGCCUUAGGGUCGUAAAGCUCUUUCGCCAGGGAUGAUAAUGACAGUACCUGGUAAAGAAACCCCGGCUAACUCC
rnacentral:rRNA from 1 species